rnacentral:ribozyme from 1 species
UUUUUUUUUUUUUUUUUUUUUUUUUUUUUUCCG